GAUGAACGCUGGCGGCGUGCCUAAUACAUGCAAGUCGAGCGAACAGAUGAGGAGCUUGCUCCUCUGACGUUAGCGGCGGACGGGUGAGUAACACGUGGAUAACCUACCUAUAAGACUGGGAUAACUUCGGGAAACCGGAGCUAAUACCGGAUAAUAUAUUGAACCGCAUGGUUCAAUAGUGAAAGACGGUUUUGCUGUCACUUAUAGAUGGAUCCGCGCCGCAUUAGCUAGUUGGUAAGGUAACGGCUUACCAAGGCAACGAUGCGUAGCCGACCUGAGAGGGUGAUCGGCCACACUGGAACUGAGACACGGUCCAGACUCCUACGGGAGGCAGCAGUAGGGAAUCUUCCGCAAUGGGCGAAAGCCUGACGGAGCAACGCCGCGUGAGUGAUGAAGGUCUUCGGAUCGUAAAGCUCUGUUAUUAGGGAAGAACAAAUGUGUAAGUAACUAUGCCCGUCUUGACGGUACCUAAUCAGAAAGCCACGGCUAACUACGUG
rnacentral:rRNA from 1 species